GACUUUUGGGUUGCUUUUAUGGCCCACUUAGUUUAAUAAGGGAUACCUGUUUCACACUUGGACUGGAAAUCUCCUUUGGAUGAGAGUGAGCUCAAGAGUGGUUCCUUCCUUAGAAUUCUCUCCCAUCAUUGUGCCCUCCUCUUCUUCUCAGAGAAGGCCAUCUGACUGCAAAGGCUUGGAGAACAAAGGGGCACACAGAAUUUGUAGAUAGCAUCACCAAAGAAGCAACAGAUGAGAAGACUGAAAACAUGGACAGUACUUGCCUGUGGCCAAGGAGAGUGCUCUAGAUAGGAAGCAGCAUUCCAAGAAGAGGAAACAACAGGUACAAAAUCAUGAUGAUCUACUAAAGCAUGAUGUAUCCAAAGGAGGCAAUAAUUCUCUCCAGCACCUGCUCCAGCUGAUUAAGUAUACAAAGUUCAUGUUGCAUCACAGAAGAGGAGGCAGAGAGAGUAUAAGAACAAGAGGCCAGGAAGAUCGACUACCUGAACAAGACUGACAAGCGAUCAAGCCAGUCAAAAUUUCAACAGAUUCUUAAAAGCAACUGUGCCCAACUCCAUGAGGGUAGCAUACUCUUAACUGGAAAGGAAUUGUGGGGAAACUGGUGCAGGCAAAUUGUCCAGUGGGGAUGAAUAGAAGUUUCCUAUUAUUGCA